rnacentral:tRNA from 1 species
GGCCUCGUAGCUCAGUCUGGCAGAGCACGCACAUACAAAGCGUAGUCGGCGUCCAUGCGUGGGUUCGAAUCCCACCGAGGCUA